AUCAGACGUUAUCAUCUCCUUGUUGCCAUUCUGUAGUAGAAACUAUGGUUUAAAAUUAGUUACCAAUUCCUUAAAAGAUAGAGACCCAACUGUUAACCAUCUCCCGUAUUAUUGAUUUCUCUAUCCUCUUUUCUUGUUAAACAUCGACAGAAACAAAACCUCGGAUAAAACCACAAAGUAUCUCUUACUCUUUCAAAAUGCCUCGCCAGAUAAUGGAAAUCAAAGAAUUUCUUCUAACAGCAA